rnacentral:rRNA from 1 species
AACGAACGCUGGCGGCAUGCCUAACACAUGCAAGUCGAACGGAUGCAGCAAUGCAUCAGUGGCAGACGGGUGAGUAACACGUGGGAAUCUACCCAGUAGCCUGGAAUAACCGCGGGAAACUGCGGCUAAUACCGGAUACGCCCCUCGGGGGAAAGGAGCAAUCCACUAUUGGAGGAGCCCGCGUCCGAUUAGCUAGUUGGUGAGGUAACGGCUCACCAAGGCGAUGAUCGGUAGCUGGUUUGAGAGAACGACCAGCCACACUGGGACUGAGACACGGCCCAGACUCCUACGGGAGGCAGCAGUGGGGAAUAUUGGACAAUGGGGGAAACCCUGAUCCAGCAAUGCCGCGUGGGUGAUGAAGGCCUUCGGGUUGUAAAGCCCUUUUGGCGGGGACGAUGAUGACGGUACCCGCAGAAGAAGCCCCGGCUAACUUCGUGCCAGCAGCCGCCGUAA